rnacentral:rRNA from 1 species
GACGUAGGAUGCGAGCGUUGUCCGGAUUUAUUGGGCGUAAAGAGUUCGUAGGCGGUUUGUUAAGUCUGAUGUAAAAGACUGGGGCUCAACCUCGGGACUGCAUUGGAUACUGGCAGACUGGAGUACGGUAGAGGCAAGUGGAAUUCCCAGUGUAGCGGUGAAAUGCGUAGAUAUUGGGAAGAACACCGGUGGCGCAAGCGACUUGCUGGGCCGUAACUGACGCUGAGGAACGAAAGCUAGGGUAGCGAAUGGG